AGACUGAGUGUUUGGAUCCUAGUCAGAAAUAAUGGAUCCCGAUAAGGUCAAGUGUCUUCCUGUUACCUUGUGAACUAGCAUGUUACAAAAAUCCUGCUCAGCAUGUCAGUCUACAAAUAUAAAAAAGAAGAUGUGAUAUGAUUGCCAAUGAGACAACUCUCAACAAGAGACCAAAAUGACACAGAAGUUAACGACUAUAGGUCACCGUACGGCCUUCAACAAUGAGCAAAGCCCAUACUGGCCCGCAAAGUCAGCUUUAAAAGGCCCCGAAAUGACAAUGUUAAACAAUUCAAACGAGAAAACUAACAGCCUCAUUUACAGUACAUAAAAAAAAAAAUGAACGAAAAACAAAUAUAUGUAACACAUAAACAAACGACAACCACUGAAUUACAGGCUCCUGAUAAAGCAGGGAUAAUAUUCAUGUAUACACUUACAUGUUCUUGUCCUGAAUAUGAAUAUUGAUUUGAAGUUGAAAGUUAAGCAGCC
rnacentral:lncRNA from 1 species